rnacentral:sRNA from 1 species
UAGAUAAAAGGAUUUCGUGACUGACGGU